GAGUUUGAUCCUGGCUCAGGACGAACGCUGGCGGCGUGCUUAACACAUGCAAGUCGAACGGAGUGCUCCUGAAAGAGUUUUCGGACAAUGGAUGGGAACACUUAGUGGCGGACUGGUGAGUAACGCGUGAGGAACCUGCCUUCCAGAGGGGGACAACAGUUGGAAACGACUGCUAAUACCGCAUGAUACAUUUGAAUCGCAUGGUUUGAAUGUCAAAGAUUUAUCGCUGGAAGAUGGCCUCGCGUCUGAUUAGCUAGUUGGUGAGGUAACGGCCCACCAAGGCGACGAUCAGUAGCCGGACUGAGAGGUUGGCCGGCCACAUUGGGACUGAGAUACGGCCCAGACUCCUACGGGAGGCAGCAGUGGGGAAUAUUGGGCAAUGGACGCAAGUCUGACCCAGCAACGCCGCGUGAAGGAAGAAGGCUUUCGGGUUGUAAACUUCUUUUAAGGGGGAAGAGCAGAAGACGGUACCCCUUGAAUAAGCCACGGCUAACUACGUGCCAGCAGCCGCGGUAAUACGUAGGUGGCAAGCGUUGUCCGGAUUUACUGGGUGUAAAGGGCGUGCAGCCGGAGAGACAAGUCAGAUGUGAAAUCCGCAGGCUCAACCUGCGAACUGCAUUUGAAACUGUUUCNCUUGAGUAUCGGAGAGGUCAUCGGAAUUCCUA
rnacentral:rRNA from 1 species